UACGUAGGCAGCAAGCGUUGUUCGGAGUUACUGGGUGUAAAGGGUGUGUAGGCGGCUUUUUAAGUUUGGUGUGAAAUCUCCCGGCUCAACUGGGAGGGUGCGCCGAAUACUGAAGGGCUAGAGUGCGGGAGAGGAAAGUGGAAUUCCUGGUGUAGCGGUGAAAUGCGUAGAUAUCAGGAGGAACACCGGUGGUGUAGACGGCUUUCGUGGACCGUAACUGACGCUGAAACACGAAAGCGUGGGUAGCAAACAGGA
rnacentral:rRNA from 1 species